rnacentral:rRNA from 1 species
GACGAACGCUGGCGGCGUGCUUAACACAUGCAAGUCGAACGGAAAGGCCCUGCUUUUGUUUGGUGCUCGAUUGGCGAACGGGUGAGUAACACUUGAGUAACCUUCGCUUGACUUUGUGAUAGCGGCAGGAAACUGUGGCUAAUACCGGAUAGGAGCUCCUGCUGCAUGUUGGUGGUUGGAAAGUUUCGGCGGGUGGGGAUGGACUCGCGGCUUAUCAGCUUGUUGGUGGGGUAGUGGCUUACCAAGGCUUUGACGGGUAGCCGGCCUGAGAGGGUGACCGGCCACAUUGGGAGUGAGAUACGGGCAAGACUCCUACGGGAGGAAGCAGUGGGGAAUAUUGCAAAAUGGGCGGAAGCAUGAUGCAGCAACGCCGCGUGGGGGAUGACGGCCUUCGGGUUGUAACCCGCUUUAGCCUGUGAAGAAGAGUGAGUGACGGUAAUGGGUCAAGAAGCAACGGCUAACUACGUG